rnacentral:rRNA from 1 species
UACGUAGGGUGCGAGCGUUUGUCCGGAAUUAUUGGGCGUAAAGAGCUUGUAGGCGGUUUGUCGCGUCUGCCGUGAAAUUUCGGGGCUCAACCCCGAACUUGCGGUGGGUACGGGCAGACUAGAGUGUGGUAGGGGAGACUGGAAUUCCUGGUGUAGCGAUGAAAUGCGCAGAUAUCAGGAGGAACACCGAUGGCGAAGGCAGGUCUCUGGGCCACUACUGACGCUGAGAAGCGAAAGCAUGGGGGAGCGAACAGG